UAGGGAAUCUUCGGCAAUGGACGGAAGUCUGACCGAGCAACGCCGCGUGAGUGAAGAAGGUUUUCGGAUCGUAAAGCUCUGCUGUUAGAGAAGAACGUUUGUAGGAGGGGAAAAUCUACCAAGUGACGGUAACUAACCAGAAAGGGACGGCUAACUACGUGCCACCAGCCGCGGUAAUACGUAGGUCCCGAGCGUUGUCCGGAUUUAUUGGGCGUAAAGCGAGGGCAGGCGGUUCUUUAAGUCUGAAGUUAAAGGCAGUGGCUUAACCAUUGUACGCUUUGGAAACUGGAGGCCUUGAGUGCAGAAGGGGAGAGUGAAAUUCCAGGUGUAGCGGUGAAAUGCGUAGAUAUAUGGAGGAACACCGGUGGCGAAAGCGGCUCUCUGGUCUGUAACUGACGCUGAGGCUCGAAAGCGUGGGGAGCAAACAGG
rnacentral:rRNA from 1 species